rnacentral:pre_miRNA from 1 species
UGCAGCUCAACAGGGUCGUCCUGAGAUCACAUGUGACACCCAAUUGGCUCCCUUGUUAAGGUGUGUUACUGUGCGUUUAUGUGUUCUCAGGUCGCCCCUGCCGAACUUCC